GAGGUUAAGCGACUAAGCGUACACGGUGGAUGCCCUGGCAGUCAGAGGCGAUGAAGGGCGUGCUAAUCUGCGAUAAGCGCCGGUAAGGUGAUAUGAACCGUUAUAACCGGCGAUACCCGAAUGGGGAAACCCAGUGUGACUCGUCACACUAUCAUUAACUGAAUCCAUAGGUUAAUGAGGCGAACCGGGGGAACUGAAACAUCUAAGUACCCCGAGGAAAAGAAAUCAACCGAGAUUCCCCCAGUAGCGGCGAGCGAACGGGGAGGAGCCCAGAGCCUGAAUCAGCAUGUGUGUUAGUGGAAGCGUCUGGAAAGGCGCGCGAUACAGGGUGACAGCCCCGUACACAAAAGCGCAUGUGCUGUGAGCUCGAUGAGUAGGGCGGGACACGUGGUAUCCUGUCUGAAUAUGGGGGGACCAUCCUCCAAGGCUAAAUACUCCUGACUGACCGAUAGUGAACCAGUACCGUGAGGGAAAGGCGAAAAGAACCCCGGCGAGGGGAGUGAAAAAGAACCUGAAACCGUGUACGUACAAGCAGUGGGAGCCCCACCACUAAGCCAGUGGUGAACUCCGCAUACGCAUCCUUUGCUGAGGAUACGGUUAACGGAGCGAAAGCGACGUUCAACCUCAAAAGAAGCAGAGGGGGCUUAGUGGUGGGGUGACUGCGUACCUUUUGUAUAAUGGGUCAGCGACUUAUAUUCUGUAGCAAGGUUAACCGUAUAGGGGAGCCGGAGGGAAACCGAGUCUUAACCGGGCGUUAAGUUGCAGGGUAUAGACCCGAAACCCGGUGAUCUAGCCAUGGGCAGGUUGAAGGUUGGGUAACACUAACUGGAGGACCGAACCGACUAAUGUUGAAAAAUUAGCGGAUGACCUGUGGCUGGGGGUGAAAGGCCAAUCAAACCGGGAGAUAGCUGGUUCUCCCCGAAAGCUAUUUAGGUAGCGCCUCGUGAAUUCAUCUCCGGGGGUAGAGCACUGUUUCGGCUAGGGGGUCAUCCCGACUUACCAACCCGAUGCAAACUGCGAAUACCGGAGAAUGUUAUCACGGGAGACACACGGCGGGUGCUAACGUCCGUCGUGAAGAGGGAAACAACCCAGACCGCCAGCUAAGGUCCCAAAGUCAUGGUUAAGUGGGAAACGAUGUGGGAAGGCCCAGACAGCCAGGAUGUUGGCUUAGAAGCAGCCAUCAUUUAAAGAAAGCGUAAUAGCUCACUGGUCGAGUCGGCCUGCGCGGAAGAUGUAACGGGGCUAAACCAUGCACCGAAGCUGCGGCAGCGACACUGUGUGUUGUUGGGUAGGGGAGCGUUCUGUAAGCCUGUGAAGGUGGCCUGUGAGGGUUGCUGGAGGUAUCAGAAGUGCGAAUGCUGACAUAAGUAACGAUAAAGCGGGUGAAAAGCCCGCUCGCCGGAAGACCAAGGGUUCCUGUCCAACGUUAAUCGGGGCAGGGUGAGUCGACCCCUAAGGCGAGGCCGAAAGGCGUAGUCGAUGGGAAACGGGUUAAUAUUCCCGUACUUGGUGUUACUGCGAAGGGGGGACGGAGAAGGCUAUGUUGGCCGGGCGACGGUUGUCCCGGUUUAAGCGUGUAGGUGUGUGUUCCAGGUAAAUCCGGUUCACUUUAACACUGAGGCGUGAUGACGAGGCACUACGGUGCUGAAGCAACAAAUGCCCUGCUUCCAGGAAAAGCCUCUAAGCAUCAGGUAACAUCAAAUCGUACCCCAAACCGACACAGGUGGUCAGGUAGAGAAUACCAAGGCGCUUGAGAGAACUCGGGUGAAGGAACUAGGCAAAAUGGUGCCGUAACUUCGGGAGAAGGCACGCUGACACGUAGGUGAAGUGAUUUACUCAUGGAGCUGAAGUCAGUCGAAGAUACCAGCUGGCUGCAACUGUUUAUUAAAAACACAGCACUGUGCAAACACGAAAGUGGACGUAUACGGUGUGACGCCUGCCCGGUGCCGGAAGGUUAAUUGAUGGGGUCAGCGCAAGCGAAGCUCCUGAUCGAAGCCCCGGUAAACGGCGGCCGUAACUAUAACGGUCCUAAGGUAGCGAAAUUCCUUGUCGGGUAAGUUCCGACCUGCACGAAUGGCGUAAUGAUGGCCAGGCUGUCUCCACCCGAGACUCAGUGAAAUUGAACUCGCUGUGAAGAUGCAGUGUACCCGCGGCAAGACGGAAAGACCCCGUGAACCUUUACUAUAGCUUGACACUGAACAUUGAGCCUUGAUGUGUAGGAUAGGUGGGAGGCUUUGAAGCGUGGACGCCAGUCUGCGUGGAGCCGACCUUGAAAUACCACCCUUUAAUGUUUGAUGUUCUAACGUGGACCCGUUACCCGGGUUGCGGACAGUGUCUGGUGGGUAGUUUGACUGGGGCGGUCUCCUCCUAAAGAGUAACGGAGGAGCACGAAGGUUGGCUAAUCCUGGUCGGACAUCAGGAGGUUAGUGCAAUGGCAUAAGCCAGCUUGACUGCGAGCGUGACGGCGCGAGCAGGUGCGAAAGCAGGUCAUAGUGAUCCGGUGGUUCUGAAUGGAAGGGCCAUCGCUCAACGGAUAAAAGGUACUCCGGGGAUAACAGGCUGAUACCGCCCAAGAGUUCAUAUCGACGGCGGUGUUUGGCACCUCGAUGUCGGCUCAUCACAUCCUGGGGCUGAAGUAGGUCCCAAGGGUAUGGCUGUUCGCCAUUUAAAGUGGUACGCGAGCUGGGUUUAGAACGUCGUGAGACAGUUCGGUCCCUAUCUGCCGUGGGCGCUGGAGAACUGAGGGGGGCUGCUCCUAGUACGAGAGGACCGGAGUGGACGCAUCACUGGUGUUCGGGUUGUCAUGCCAAUGGCACUGCCCGGUAGCUAAAUGCGGAAGAGAUAAGUGCUGAAAGCAUCUAAGCACGAAACUUGCCCCGAG
rnacentral:rRNA from 1 species